UGCCCAUAUAACACUUGGAAACAGGUGCUAAUACCGUAUAACACUAUUUUCCGCAUGGAAGAAAGUUGAAAGGCGCUUUUGCGUCACUGAUGGAUGGACCCGCGGUGCAUUAGCUAGUUGGUGAGGUAACGGCUCACCAAGGCCACGAUGCAUAGCCGACCUGAGAGGGUGAUCGGCCACACUGGGACUGAGACACGGCCCAGACUCCUACGGGAGGCAGCAGUAGGGAAUCUUCGGCAAUGGACGAAAGUCUGACCGAGCAACGCCGCGUGAGUGAAGAAGGUUUUCGGAUCGUAAAACUCUGUUGUUAGAGAAGAACAAGGAUGAGAGUAAAAUGUUCAUCCCUUGACGGUAUCUAACCAGAAAGCCACGGCUAACUACGUGCCAGCAGCCGCGGUAAUACGUAGGUGGCAAGCGUUGUCCGGAUUUAUUGGGCGUAAAGCGAGCGCAGGCGGUUUCUUAAGUCUGAUGUGAAAGCCCCCGGCUCAACCGGGGAGGGUCAUUGGAAACUGGGAGACUUGAGUGCAGAAGAGGAGAGUGGAAUUCCAUGUGUAGCGGUGAAAUGCGUAGAUAUAUGGAGGUACACCAGUGGCGAAGGCGGCUCUCUGGUCUGUAACUGACGCUGAGGCUCGAAAGCGUGGGGAGCGAACAGGAUUAGAUACCCUGGUAGUCCACGCCGUAAACGAUGAGUGCUAAGUG
rnacentral:rRNA from 1 species